GAUGAACGCUAGCGGCAGGCUUAAUACAUGCAAGUCGAGGGGCAGCGCGGGUAGCAAUACCUGGCGGCGACCGGCAAACGGGUGCGGAACACGUACGCAACCUUCCCAUAACUGGUGAAUAGCCUUUCGAAAGAGAGAUUAAUACACCGUAACAUAACGAAGAGGCAUCUCUUUGUUAUUAUAGGCUUCGGCCGGUUUUGGAUGGGCGUGCGCCUGAUUAGGUAGUUGGCGGGGUAACGGCCCACCAAGCCUGCGAUCAGUAACUGGUGUGAGAGCACGACCAGUCACACGGGCACUGAGACACGGGCCCGACUCCUACGGGAGGCAGCAGUAAGGAAUAUUGGUCAAUGGAGGCAACUCUGAACCAGCCAUGCCGCGUGCAGGAUGACGGCCCUAUGGGUUGUAAACUGCUUUUAUACAAGAGAAAACCCUAGGUACGUGUACCAGGUUGAUAGUAUUGUAAGAAUAAGCAUCGGCUAACUUCGUGCCAGCAGCCGCGG
rnacentral:rRNA from 1 species